rnacentral:rRNA from 1 species
UACGUAGGGUGCAAGCGUUAUUCGGAAUUAUUGGGCGUAAAGCGUGCGCAGGCGGCUUUUUACGACUGUCGUGAAAUCCCCGGGCUUAACCUGGGAAUGGCGAUGGUGACUGCAAGGCUAGAGUUUGGCAGAGGGGGGUAGAAUUCCACGUGUAGCAGUGAAAUGCGUAGAUAUGUGGAGGAACACCGAUGGCGAAGGCAGCCCCCUGGGUCAAAACUGACGCUCAUGCACGAAAGCGUGGGGAGCAAACAGG